rnacentral:miRNA from 1 species
ACUCCUUUGUGUAUCUCCGUUUCA